AAUAGAUACCCAGGUAGUCCAUGCCGUAAACGUUGGGCACUAGGUGUGGGGCUCAUUCCACGAGUUCCGUGCCGCAGCAAACGCAUUAAGUGCCCCGCCUGGGGAGUACGGCCGCAAGGCUAAAACUCAAAGGAAUUGACGGGGGCCCGCACAAGCGGCGGAGCAUGCGGAUUAAUUCGAUGCAACGCGAAGAACCUUACCAAGGCUUGACAUGCACGGGAAGCCACCAGAGAUGGUGGUCUCUUUGGACACUCGUGCACAGGUGGUGCAUGGUUGUCGUCAGCUCGUGUCGUGAGAUGUUGGGUUAAGUCCCGCAACGAGCGCAGCCCUCGUCCCAUGUUGCCAGCGGGUUAUGCCGGGGACUCAUGGGAGACUGCCGGGGUCAACUCGGAGGAAGGUGGGGAUGACGUCAAAUCAUCAUGCCCCUUAUGUCUUGGGCUUCACGCAUGCUACAAUGGCCGGUACAAAGGGCUGCGAUGCCGUAAGGUGGAGCGAAUCCCAAAAAGCCGGUCUCAGUUCGGU
rnacentral:rRNA from 1 species